GAUGAACGCUAGCGGCAGGCUUAACACAUGCAAGUCGAGGGGUAGAGGAAGCUUGCUUCCUUGAGACCGGCGCACGGGUGCGUAACGCGUAUACAAUCUACCUUUUACAGAGGGAUAGCCCCAGAGAAAUUUGGAUUAAUACCUCAUAGUAUUUUCGGAUCGCAUGAUUUGAUUAUUAAAGUUCCAACGGUAAAAGAUGAGUAUGCGUCCCAUUAGCUAGAUGGUAAGGUAACGGCUUACCAUGGCAAUGAUGGGUAGGGGUCCUGAGAGGGAGAUCCCCCACACUGGUACUGAGACACGGACCAGACUCCUACGGGAGGCAGCAGUGAGGAAUAUUGGACAAAUGGGCGGCGAAGCCGUGAUCCAGCCAUGCCGCGUGGACAGGAAGAAAGGUCAUCUAUGGUGU
rnacentral:rRNA from 1 species